rnacentral:rRNA from 1 species
AGUGAACGCUGGCGGUAGGCCUAACACAUGCAAGUCGAACGGCAGCACAGUAAGAGCUUGCUCUUACGGGUGGCGAGUGGCGGACGGGUGAGGAAUACAUCGGAAUCUACUUUUUCGUGGGGGAUAACGUAGGGAAACUUACGCUAAUACCGCAUACGACCUACGGGUGAAAGCAGGGGAUCUUCGGACCUUGCGCGAUUGAAUGAGCCGAUGUCGGAUUAGCUAGUUGGCGGGGUAAAGGCCCACCAAGGCGACGUUGCGUAGCUGGUCUGAGAGGAUGGUCAGCCACCCUGGGAGGGGGACCCGGUCCAGACUCCUUCGGGAAGGGGCAGUGGGGAAUAUUGGGCCAUGGGCGCAAACCUGUGCCCGACAUACCGCGGGGGUAAAGAAGGCCUUCGGGUUGUGAAGGCCUUUUUUUGGGGAAAGAACAGCUGCAGGUUGAUACCCCGCUGUUCUGACGGUACCCAAUGAAUAAGCACCGGCUAACUUCGUG